AUCUUUCCAGGCCUGAAUCCCUCGUCCUCUAGGCACUGAUACAAGAUGUAGAGAUACUGCUAAGCUUGCUAAUGCUCGUGGAUGGGCAGUCCUGUAGUCUGCUUAGAAAGCAGGAGGAGUCCUGUGACACAUAGUGAUACGGUCUGGAUUACCAAUUGGGAUCAAUAUGUAAGCUUAAGGACCAGUAUAUGGAUUUAGUGAAUGGAUGAUGUACUGACCCCUGGAUACCAGGUGGAUAAGGAGGUUUGGUUGAGUCAGCCAGCUUUGUGGAUGCAAGUACUGUGCCAUCAAGGCACAGAGCUGACUGAGCAUGAGUGGAGACUGGGUCCAACCAGCGGUCUCAGUGAGGAAGACAGCUGACUUCAUCCAGAGGGUCUCAGGACCACUGCCACAAAGAGAUGGAGCGUGUGCAAGGAGGCGGAAGCCAAUGUAAAUGGUGCUGAUGAGGUGGAAAAGUGGAAAAAUAACCCCGAAAAUGAGAGAAAAAACUCUAGAAAAGGGGGAAUCUCCCUCCCGGAAAAUCAGAAACGGAACAGAACCCGGCGUGCCCCCACUCCACGCGUUUCCAGCCAAUCGUCCUCUGGCUCCGCAGGAAGUUUUCCUUUCCCUCUGCAAUUCCUUGCGGCAGCGCCCAGCCCCGUUUUGGAUUCGCUUUCCUUCUUUUCGCUGUUACCGAGGUCGGCUGAAUCCCCGCUCCAAGCACCCACAGUGAUGGACCCAUAGGUCCCCAGCCUCCAAUUUAACGAUAUUUUCUCUAUUUUGUGAAAAUUUGGCUCAAAAUAAGCCGUUUUAGUAAUCUGUUUUAAUACCUGUUAUUAUAUAUUUUCUGCUAUAGC
rnacentral:lncRNA from 7 species